rnacentral:rRNA from 1 species
UGGGGAAUAUUGCACAAUGGGCGAAAGCCUGAUGCAGCGACGCCGCGUGAGGGAUGACGGCCUUCGGGUUGUAAACCUCUUUCAGUAGGGACGAAGCGCAAGUGACGGUACCUGCAGAAGAAGCACCGGCUAACUACGUGCCAGCAGCCGCGGUAAUACGUAGGGUGCGAGCGUUGUCCGGAAUUACUGGGCGUAAAGAGCUCGUAGGCGGUUUGUCACGUCGUCUGUGAAAUCCUAGGGCUUAACCCUGGACGUGCAGGCGAUACGGGCUGACUUGAGUACUACAGGGGAGACUGGAAUUUCUGGCGUAGCGGUGGAAUGCACAGAUAUCAGGAAGAACACCGAUGGCGAAGGCAGGUCUCUGGGUAGUAACUGACGCUGAGGAGCGAAAGCAUGGGUAGCGAACAGG